GUGUGUGUGUGUGUGUGGGCGUGUUCUGUGCUGUUUAUCAGAGAUGUUUCUUGCUGUCUUUCACAGAUUAAGCAGCCGAGGUCAGCAGCAGUGUUUCUCACAAUCCUUCAGCACACAUCAGGUGGAUGAAAGCACACACACUGAAGCGCAGUGCUUUGGAUUACUGAUCUUCUCUGGGGUUUGGCUACUCACAGAGACACUCGCGGGGCUCAUGAAGACUGAACAGGAUGAAGACGCCGCGCAGGAAGGUGAGACACGUGUCUCCCGGCAUCACGUAUGAUCACGAGUUUCAAUUCUGCCUCAGUUCUUCAUUAAAUACACAAUUAAAGNACUGAGUAUAAUUACACUGGAGCAAGGACACCUUAAAAUAAAGUGAAAGCAGAAGUGGUUUUGAGCGCUGGC
ensembl:lncRNA